GCCACGAGGCGGAGCGAAUCCCUAAAAGCCGUCCCAGUUCGGAUUGCAGGCUGNAACCCGCCUGCAUGAAGUUGGAAUCGCUAGUAAUCGCGGAUCAGCAUGCCGCGGUGAAUACGUUCCCGGGCCUUGUACACACCGCCCGUCACACCAUGAGAGUCGGGGACACCCGAAGUCCGUAGUCUAACCGCAAGGGGACGCGGCCGAAGGUGGAUUCGAUAAUUGGGGUGAAGUCGUAACAAGGUACC
rnacentral:rRNA from 1 species